GCCCAAGUCCUCAUUGAUGUUUAAUGAUCUGCACUGGAAUCUUGAGCCCGAACUGCUGUCAAACAUCUCACCAUCUUCAAUCAUGAAGUACGACUGCCCCAAGCGGACAAGCUCCAUCGUAAUGUAUAGAGAAAUCGGUAUCAUGAUUUGGAAGACUAUUACCGAGCUCAAAAAUGAGAAAAAGAUCUCCAACGGGAUCCCAUAAAAUUUGUAAAGCUUUCCUCUAUCCGGG
rnacentral:misc_RNA from 1 species